rnacentral:ncRNA from 1 species
UAAAUAGAGGCGCGGGCUUCAUCAGUAGCCGGAGCGCGGCACGGGGAUGCCGCCGGUGAAAGGGGAUCCCGCCGAAGCGUACACGCCCCCGAAUGUGUAUGCUGGGAUAACGCAGAAGAUGCGUUAUACUGUCGUUACGAUACGGUAACGGAGUGCUAUUC